GGGCAGCUGUUUGAACAGGGUGUAGGAUGGGCAUUACUCUGGCUCCCAGAUAUACACAUGCAGUUGGUAUACAGCUGUAUCCACAAAGAAAGCAAAAGGAAAUAUUAUUGUUGUUGUCUGUUCUGAGAAAUUGAAAUACAACAUUAUGCUUUGG